rnacentral:rRNA from 1 species
AGUGAACGCUGGCGGUAGGCCUAACACAUGCAAGUCGAACGGCAGCACAGUAAGAGCUUGCUCUUACGGGUGGCGAGUGGCGGACGGGUGAGGAAUACAUCGGAAUCUACUUUUUCGUGGGGGAUAACGUAGGGAAACUUACGCUAAUACCGCAUACGACCUACGGGUGAAAGCAGGGGCUCUUCGGACCUUGCGCGAUUGAAUGAGCCGAUGUCGGAUUAGCUAGUUGGCGGGGUAAAGGCCCACCAAGGCGACGAUCCGUAGCUGGUCUGAGAGGAUGAUCAGCCACACUGGAACUGAGACGCGGUCCAGACUCCUACGGGAGGCAGCAGUGGGGAAUAUUGGACAAAGGGCGCAAGCCUGAUCCAGCCAUACCGCGUGGGUGAAGAAGGCCUUCGGGUUGUAAAGCCCUUUUGUUGGGAAAGAAAAGCAGCAGGUUAAUACCCCGCUGUUCUGACGGUACCCAAAGAAUAAGCACCGGCUAACUUCGUG